GUUGCUGAUGAUGAUGAACUUUGUGAACUUAUUCGCCUAGGUUUACCGGGAAAUAUAAACGUGCGGCAAGACAGGAAUGGUGUACUUGUGGAAACUGCGUUGUGGAAGAGAUGUGGGGAAAUCGUUCCUGUUGUCAAGAAAUUGAAAAGGUUAUGCAAAAAAACAAUGAAGAGCCAUACCACAAUUGGUGCAUUACCACACAUCCU